rnacentral:lncRNA from 10 species
UGACCUCGUGAUCCACCUGCCUCGGCCUCCCAAAGUGCUGGGAUUACAGGCGUGAGCCACCGCGCCCGGCCCAUAGUGAUUUUUCAAACUACAGAACCCCUGUCCCUGAGAUUUAGAGAUCUCCCUUUACCCCAAAUUCUCUUUAUAGUAGAAAUAGGUAAAUUGAAGAGCAGCAACAGGUAGGGCUUUUUCAUAAACUUUACUGUAUGCUUACAGCAUAAGCAAUGUCACGCAAAAGAAGAAACACAAAACCCCCUCCCUAGUCCUCCAAACAAGAACACUGCUUUGCUCUGCAGCAGGGGAGCCAUCUAGCUGGAGCUCUGGCCAGAUUGCCC